GGCACCUGUUGCUCUCCCUGCUGCUGUGGUUUGUCUAGUGAUCCGAAGAGGGGAGAAGAAAUUGGAUAUCCUAACAACAACAAAGGAACAGAUGCUGAAAUCCCAGGACAGACACGGCAGCAGCAGGGGGUGACUCAGAGGAACUGGAAUGAUCUCUCCAAGAACUGCCAAGGCCCACAGGAGAGCCCCGCUGGAAUCGCCUGUCUCUGGGGGGCUCCAGAAGAAAAGGGACAGUCAUGAGUGCAGCUGUGACCUGGGCUCUGAAUUAGAGAGGUGCAGC
rnacentral:lncRNA from 1 species